UACGUAGGGGGCAAGCGUUGUCCGGAAUCAUUGGGCGUAAAGAGCGCGUAGGCGGUCCGGUAAGUCGGUUGUGAAAACUGGGGGCUCAACCCUCAGAGGCCGACCGAUACUGUCGGGCUAGAGUCCGGAAGAGGCGAGUGGAAUUCCUGGUGUAGCGGUGAAAUGCGCAGAUAUCGGGAAGAACACCCGUGGCGAAGGCGGCUCUCUGGGACGGUACUGACGCUGAGACGCGAAAGCGUGGGGAGCAAACAGG
rnacentral:rRNA from 1 species